rnacentral:rRNA from 1 species
GACAGAGGUGCCGAGCGUUAGGCGGAAUCACUGGGCUUAAAGCGUGUGUAGGCGGCCGCCUAAGUACCUUGUGAAAUCCCACGGCUCACCCGUGGAACGGCUGGGUAUACUGGGCGUCUUGAGCCUUCUAGGGGCCAGCGGAACAAAUGGUGGAGCGGUGAAAUGCGUAGAUAUCGGGAGGAACACCUGUGGCGAAAGCGGCUCACUGGACCACAACUGACGCUGAGGCGCGAAAGCUAGGGGAGCAAACAGG